GAGCAUGAGAGGGUCCUGGAACUGUUAACGAUGGCUGGGGUUUCUACUUCUUGCUUAACUCUCUCUUCCAGAAGCAAGUUCCGGACUCAUCAUGCGAGAAACAUCCCAGGGAAAACUAAUUGUUGGAGAAAGCUUGGAAUUAGAGCUGAAGUGAAUUAUGUGAAUGCAGAAGAAGCAAAGAAACUCGUAGCAGCUGAAGGAUAUGUUGUACUGGAUGUGCGGGACAUAACUCAAUAUGAACGAGCUCAUAUAAAAUCAUGUUAUCACGUGCCUCUUUUCAUUGAAAACCAAGACAAUGAUUUGGGCACUAUCAUAAAAAGGACUGUGCACAACAAUUUUUCGGGUUUGUUCUUUGGAUUGCCAUUUACGAAGCCCAAUCCUGAAUUUGUAGAAUCUGUAAAGAGCCAGUUUUCACCUGACAGUAAACUGUUACUUGUAUGCCAGGAAGGGUUAAGGUUAGUUAUUUAUUUACCUCUGAUUUUACCUAACUGUUUUUCCAAUUUGAUAUCUUGAGAAAGUCUAAUAUUAAUGAGUAACUUAAGAGGCUAAUCCAUGGAAAUAUUAGUUUCAUGUACUUGAAUAUUUCCACAUAUUUAGGAUGCCAUUUUGAGGGACUACGAAAUUCAGAACAGUAAUGAUAUACUCAAGUAGAACUUUUGUUCUUGGUUUCUUUCUGUGUAGCAUCUAAAUUUAUUGCCGGUUCUAGCAGAAUGUGAUUAGAAGUGUUGAAAUUCUUAGCCCAAGAUUAGUAUGUGCUAGAAUGUAACUUGAUCUCCCUUAAAAAAAAUGUUCAAAGUGCAGAUUAUGAUGCAUUUUCUUGAAAAAGUAAUGAUAAAGUAGAAACAUUUGAUGCACGUGGGAGCUUGAUUUGCAGAAAUUAAAUGUUUGAAAUUCAAGUUUACACAAUGUAGCAAGAUGGCUUGAAUUCCACAGACAAGGUGAAAAAGAGUAGAGAGUUGUUUGUUGAGUGUCUUUAUCAUGGUUGUAGCAUGUAAAGUGGGGUCUGAUCAGUGACUCAGAUGAUCUUCCCUGCUAUUAUGACCUUAGCACAUCCUAUCUACAAUCGUAGAGUUUUGGUUUUUGGAUUGUAUUGGUUUUAUUUCCUUAUUUACCCAAAUUAUCUUAUAUAAAAUCCUUUUACCUUGGCUUUGAGACCACUUGACAGGAAUGUGUUUACUUUCAAUGUAUCUAGGUCUACAGCAGCAGCCAAUAAAUUAGAGCAAGCUGGUUUCCAAAACAUAGCAUGCAUAACAUCAGGGCUUCAAUCUGUGAAACCAGGUUAAAUUUUCCUUUUUUCCAAACCUCUUUUUUUUAUAUAUAUACAAGUUUUGAAGGCAGGAAAAGUAAGAGAAGCAAAAGGGUUUUGUUUCUGCAGGAACAUUUGAUUCUGAAGGCUCCACAGAGUUACAAAACGCUGGCAAAGCUGGUUUGAUCACUAUUCAAGGGAAGAUAUCAGCUGUACUUGGAACAGUACUUAUCUGUGCAUAUUUAUUCAUCACCUUCUUCCCAGAGCAGGCAGAGAAGCUGUUUCAACUGGCCCCAGCUAGUUAAAUCCCACGUUUGUGCAUUUAUUAUGGUUGAAAAUACAUAGGUGCUCAAAAACUACCUUCGUAAGAUCCGAGCUAGAGAGGAGAGAGAGGGAGGGAUGUUUGUGGCAAUCUGUAAGCAAUCAUAUGCAGAUUUUACUCUUCAUUUGAGUACAUCAAAUUUCUUUAUGCAAUCAGAUUUUUUAAUUAUAGACACUUAUUUAUCAAAAACAGCUUUAUUCGUAUGGUUUUAUAAUGCAAAAUGGC
rnacentral:misc_RNA from 1 species